UACGUAGGGCGCAAGCGUUAUCCGGAAUUAUUGGGCGUAAAAGAGCUCGUAGGCGGUUUGUCGCGUCUGCUGUGAAAACUGGAGGCUCAACCUCCAGCCUGCAGUGGGUACGGGCAGACUAGAGUGCGGUAGGGGAGAUUGGAAUUCCUGGUGUAGCGGUGGAAUGCGCAGAUAUCAGGAGGAACACCGAUGGCGAAGGCAGAUCUCUGGGCCGUAACUGACGCUGAGGAGCGAAAAGCGUGGGGAGCGAACAGG
rnacentral:rRNA from 1 species